rnacentral:rRNA from 1 species
UGCCAGACUCCUACGGGAGGCAGCAGUGGGGAAUAUUGCACAAUGGGGGAAACCCUGAUGCAGCGACGCCGCGUGAGCGAUGAAGUAUUUCGGUAUGUAAAGCUCUAUCAGCAGGGAAGAAAAUGACGGUACCUGAGUAAGAAGCCCCGGCUAACUACGUGCCAGCAGCCGCGGUAAUACGUAGGGGGCAAGCGUUAUCCGGAUUUACUGGGUGUAAAGGGAGCGUAGACGGCGAUGCAAGUCUGAAGUGAAAGCCCGGGGCUCAACCCCGGGACUGCUUUGGAAACUGUAUGGCUGGAGUACAGGAGGGGCAGGCGGAAUUCCUAGUGUAGCGGCGAAAUGCGUAGAUAUUAGGAGGAACACCGGUGGCGAAGGCGGCCUGCUGGACUGUGACUGACGUUGAGGCCCGAAGGCGUGGGGAGCAAACAGGAUUAGAUACCCGGGUA